CCCUAAUUUUUAUGACCCUGUUACAAAAGUCAUCUAGACAAACACUAGGGCAUAACUAUCGUCCUGAGCACCAAAUAAUAAGCAUAAUCUGAAUAGAAAUGCUCUCCUUUUCCUUCUGCUUUUCCCUUUUCUCCUUCACUUCCUCAGAGAUUGAGCCUGUUUGGGGAACCGUCAGUAAAUUCUGAGUGAUAAUUUGACAAAUAAGAGUAGUCUUAAGUCAUCAAUCAAAACCCUGUUUACGCCCUUUUCAGCAAACAUAUGCUGACCCAAACCGAUCUUAGCAUUCACACUCUGUUUUGAUCUUGUAGUAGUCUCUAGCCCUUACUCUCAACACAAGUUUGCCAAAAUGUUGCACAUGCUCAGACUAACUGCCCAGAAUGCAGACCAAAGAGGACUGGCCAGGCGUUGUGAGGAACACCCCCUACCCAGGGCCGACGACCACCUACUGAGCCGAAAGCAACUGGACACAGAGAAAAGAGUACCUCAGACUCAGGGCUCAAGCGAGAGUUAUGACUACAAAAAGCUCACCAAGGUCAUCAUCUUCCUGGCCCACAACCUCAUGGGAUUGAAACAGGAGGAAAUUGAUAGACUUCAAGAGACUCUGAUCCAGCAGCUGAACAACACUCAAGACAAGCUUGACAUGUUCCGAAGAGAACUCAGGGACUCCUAUAGGCUGC